CUAGGUUACAAAAAUGGCACAUUUAUUGCUACAGAACGGUGAUGGGCAUGUUGGUUCACUACAGGAUGACAGUUGACUACAGAAACUAGCGAGGGCUAACCCUUAGCACUAGGGAGCGCUAGCAAUUAGCAAGCUAGCCUGGGCUAUGCCUAAGCACGCUUGCCAAGGCUUACCCCGAGCAUUAGCAAGGCCUAACCCUUAGCACUAGCAAGAGCUAACCCUUAGCGCUUACCAUGACUAACCCUUAGCAUGCUAACCAUGGCUAACCCUUUGCCAACCCUAACCCUUGUGGUAAGGGCUUACCCUUACCACACUAGGGACGGCUUACUCAUCGCAUUUUAUCAAGGGCUAACCCUUAGCAAACCUGUUCCCAAACAUCAUGGGAAACGUCUGUUAGAAAGUUUGACCAGCAAGGGGCCAAUGAGGGGCCUCUCCCAACUUUGCCACCAUUUCAGUCUUGGAAAACAUCCUUCACCAACAAAAUGGCUCCCUCCUUAUAUAGCGUAUAUAUUUUUGUACAUUUAUAUAGAUGGAUUUUCAAUUUUCAAUAGAUUAUUUUCCAGUUUCCAUGUCUUCCUGUCGACCGAGAAGGUUUUUAAGCAUGACCUAGCAACUCUUUGAUCCAUUUCAUUUUUUUAUUUUUCAAUUCUAUUUCUGACAGAGAAAUCGGAACGGACAAAAAGCAAUAAGAGACUUUUUUUUUUCUUUAAAAAAGAGCUAAACCGACAAAAAGUCUGUUUUACAAUAAACAACUACACGUUUUGUACUCAAGACUACAUUGGCUCAUGGACAAGCCGAUCAAAUAUUGAUAGAAAGCUGAUAAGCUAUAAUACAAGAACUAUCGCUUCGAUCACCAUGGAAACGGCAACUUAAUAUGGAGGAGAUAGUGGGUAAAGGGCUGUGAUUGGUUGCGUUGGAUCGGCGUUAAAGUAGGACGCAUGACAGCGGGGGAGGGGCUUCACCAAAGCAUCUGUCCGAUUGGCUGGGAGCCAGAACACAUGGUCUAAUUACAUACAAGCAUAGAGUACAUUAAUUACAGUUUAUGUUUGUUUUCUUCUUCUUUUUUAUCCAAAAAAUACUUUUUUUUUUUUUUAUAAUUUUUUUAAUUCCCAGGUCUGGUAAAAAACCCGACUGCAUAGAACCGAACCACGAAGAACAGGUCUCCAAACGUCCUUCUCUGCUGUAUCAAUGAUAUGAACUCUAGAAAGGCACAUCGGUACGAGUGUGAAUGUUCAGAUUGCAUCUCCAGGGGGAAGCCGAAGCUAGGAUGAGUUCUCAAGGAAAUAUGGAGCGCCUAGUAAAGUAUAGGGUCAUAAGGCUAGGCUCGGGCUAAUGGGUUGGCUGUAACUCACAGGGCUAGCCUGGCCAGCUGGUAGUGCUGGAAUGGGUCAGUCAAUGAUUAGACUGGCUGACUGAGAGAGAGAGAGAGAGAGAGAGAGAGAGAGAGAGAGAGAGAGAGAGAGAGAGAGAGAGAGAGAGAGAGAGAGAGAGAGAGAGGCGGGGCCAGAGGAAGAACAGUCUCACAGAUCAGGCCCAGGAAGAGCAUGAGGUCUUCUUGGGAUUAUGUGAUACCAGUGGUCCACGUUCUUCAGCUGUUCUACUCCCAACCACCAGGAGGCACCGGAGAGGACCAGUAGUCACCAGUAAUCAACAUUAGUGACCAUUAAUCAUCACUUAUGACCGGUACUGACCGGUAAAGACCAGGGAUAGCCAGACAACCCUAAGAACUACCGUAACCAACCAGGGAAAAAGAGGAGAAAGCAGGACGUAUCAGGAACAGACAGGAGAUGUAGGAAGGAACGGGAUUGCUCAGCGUGUUUUGCUCUUCCAGACCGGCAGUCAGACCCGAGGAUGGUGACGGACACAUGGACAACCCAACCGCUCCUCUUCAUGGGGAACGCCCACAUUUAUCAACUAGCCAAUCCCUCUCUGGCAUUCAACAGACCAGAACCAGACUCCUGGGGCAUGUGGCUCCCUGUCCAUAUAUAGGAGGACUGUUCUGUCGCCACGUUGGACUGGACAGAUCGGAGCCUAGUGUUUUUGUCACCGCCUUACGGAUGGGAGGAACCGUCUGGGACUAAUAAAGUACAUCUUGCUUUAUCUCAUCAGGAUGCUACACACCGGUGUUUACAUUGAAGAGAGCUUCUCAGUGAAGCAUGGACUCUUUAGAGAGGUUCCUAAGAGAGUCUCCCCUUGAUUAUUACAUUGUCUGAUUGGUUGAUUGGCUGAUAAGUGUUCCUGUCCUCUAUAAGAGGAGGGUCUCAGGGAAAGGGCUGUCUCUCUGGUCUCUCCAAGCAGUCUACCCUGACCAGACCAAAAAACAAAAGAAAACAAUGAAAUAUCGAAUAUAUUUCCUUAACUGCACCGUUCAAACGGGAAAGUAUGAUCAAGACUUCCUCGACCGAUACCUGUGAAAUGCAAUCGUUAUCAAAACCAUAGUUGUCUAGCAGGGUCGCGGAUGUCUUCUGGCUCGCUGCCGUACACUCUGUGUUUCAUAAAACACAACGCCGGGGCAGAGGACUCACACACCGAUUGGUUUUGCAUCUUGGUGGUUGUUUAGAGAUGUAAUGUAGAUGGGAACUGCUCCUACUCCCCUCUCUUCUCCCCUCCUUCCUCCUCCCUCAUCCUCCCUCCUUCACCUCCCUCCUCCCCUCCUCCACCUCCUCCCCUCCCCUCUCCUCCUCUCUCUGAGUGGAUGGCUCCUGGCCUCUUCCAGGAGUGACGGACUGACUCUCCGUAUGUUUGUCUCAUGAUAUGUCUUGUUCUGUCAUCAGCAGACCACGCUCAACUCAUGAACACCUUUCCUUUUUUUUUUUUAUACAUAGAUGAGAACGGUUACUGUUCCUUAAAAGACGGAAUGCUGAAAAAGAGUGUUCUCUUUACCAGGAUUUAUGUAUUUUCAUGUCAAAACUCCCACAAACUGUCAAUUUCCGGCUGUCAUUUUGUAACAGUUUUCCUUUUUUCAUCCCUCUCCUGUAAUAAGCUUCCUGAUUGGUUCCCCCGAGAUGUGAUCAACCACGGCCGCAGUCUGGAGAAGAACAUAAGAAGGUGGAGGAGAAACGUGAUUGGAAGAAAGAGCAGGGGGUGGGGCCAGGCCGAGGAGUCAAAGGUUGGUCAAUGGUUUCGAUCGAGUGCCAGGACAUGGGAAGGCCGUCAGAGGAAAUGGUCACUCAUCAUCUUGAUGAACUCUGGCAGCUUGGAC
ensembl:lncRNA